rnacentral:snoRNA from 1 species
AAGCACAUUUCAUUGUCUUUCUCUUUGUACUCAUAAGAACAAAGAUAUUUCUGAUGUGCGAAAUAAACACGGAAGGUAAAUUAGCAGUGUGGCAAAUGUAGCUAUCCCUGUCAGUCACCUUCACACACAA